UACGUAGGGUGCGAGCGUUGCCCGGAUUUAUUGGGCGUAAAGGGCGCGUAGGCGGCCACGCACGUCCGUUGUGAAAUCCCCCGGCUCAACCGGGGAACGGGGCGCGGAUACGACGAGUCUGGAGGGGCAUAGGGGGACCUGGAACUUCCGGUGGAGCGGUGAAAUGCGUUGAGAUCGGAAGGAACGCCCGUGGCGAAAGCGAGGUCCUGGAUGCCUACUGACGCUGAGACGCGAAAGCCCAGGGGAGCGAACGGG
rnacentral:rRNA from 1 species